GGAGGGAGGUAUGGUUGUCUGUCUGAAUGGAGGGAGGUAUGGUUGUCUGUCUGAAUGGAGGGAGGUAUGGUUGUCUGUCUGAAUGGAGGGAGGGAGGUAUGGUUGUCUGACUGAUUGGAGGGAGGGAGGUAUGGUUGUCUGACUGAAUUGAAGGAGGAAUGGUUGUCUGACAAUGUAGGGAGGUAUGGUUGUCCGUCUGAAUGGAGGGAGGUAUGGUUGUCUGUCUGAAUGAAGGGAGGUAUGGUUGUCUGUCUGAAUGGAGGGAGGUAUGGUUGUCUGUCUGAAUGGAGGGAGGUAUGGUUGUCUGUCUGAAUGGAGGGAGGUAUUGUUAUCUGACUGAAUGGAGGGAGGGAGGUAAUGUUGUCUGUCUGAAUGAAGGGAGAUAUUGUUGUCUGACUGAGUGGAGGGAGGUAUGGUUGUCUGUCUGAAUGGAGGGAGGUAUGGUUGUCUGACUGAAUGGAGGGAGGUAUUGUUGUCUGUCUGAAUGGAGGGAGGUAUGGUUGUCUGUCUGAAUGGAGGGAGGUAUGGUUGUCUGUCUGAAUGGAGUUAGGUUUGGUUGUCUGUCUGAAUGGAGGGAGGUAUGGUUGUCUGUCUGAAUGGAUGGAGGUAUGGUUGUCUGUCUGAAUGGAGGGAGGUAUGGUUGUCUGUCUGAAUGGAGGGAGGUAUGGUUGUCUGACUGAAUGGAGGGAGUUAUGCGACAUACGCCUAGUUUCCUAAAACGGGUCGCAAAACCGUUUGACAUAGAAACAUUAUGAAACUAUGAAAAAUAUUUAUAGCAUUCCACCCAUGAGGCCACAAGAGGGC
ensembl:lncRNA